AUUGAACGCUGGCGGCAGGCCUAACAUAUGCAAGUCGAGCGGAGCGGCGGACGGGUGAGUAAUGCCUAGGAAUCUGCCUGGUAGUGGGGGAUAACGUCCGGAACGGGUCGCUAAUACGGCAUACUAUCAGAUGACCCUAGGUCGGAUUAGCUAGUUGGUGGGGUAAAGGCCUACCAAGGCGACGAUCCGUAACUGGUCUGAGAGGAUGAUCAGUCACACUGGAACUGAGACACGGUCCAGACUCCUACGGGAGGCAGCAGUGGGGAAUAUUGGACAAUGGGCGAAAGCCUGAUCCAGCCAUGCCGCGUGUGUGAAGAAGGUCUUCGGAUUGUAAAGCACUUUAAGUUGGGAGGCGUUACCAACAGAAUAAGCACCGGCUAACUUCGUGCCAGCAGCCGCGGUAAUUC
rnacentral:rRNA from 1 species